GAUGAACGCUAGCGACAGGCCUAACACAUGCAAGUCGAGGGGCAGCACGAAUCAAGCUUGCUUGAUUUGGUGGCGACCGGCGCACGGGUGCGUAACAGGUGUGCAAUCUGUCCAUAAUCGGGGAAUAGCCCAGCGAAAGUUGGAUUAAUGCUCCAUGUGAGUUUUAGAGGCAUCUCUUUAAUUUGAAACGCAAGGAUUAUGGGUGAGCACGCUUCUGAUUAGGUAGUUGGUGAGGUAACGGCUCACCAAGCCGACGAUCAGUAGGGGUUCUGAGAGGAAGGUCCCCCACAUUGGAACUGAGACACGGUCCAAACUCCUACGGGAGGCAGCAGUGAGGAAUAUUGGUCAAUGGACGAAAGUCUGAACCAGCCAAGUCGCGUGAAGGAUGAAGGUUCUAUGGAUUGUAAACUUCUUUUGUCUGAGGGUAAAAAAGCGGACGUGUCCGUUCUUGCAAGUAUCAGACGAAUAAGCAUCGGCUAACUCCGUGCCAGCCGCCGCUGUAAUAC
rnacentral:rRNA from 1 species